AGAGAAGUCAACAUGCGGUGAAAAGACCACAAACAAUCUCUCCUCCGGCUGCCUGCGCCGGAAGUAUCCCGUUGUUUGUCAGCCUUGCCGCCCCAACCCCCACCGCCACCCCCAACCCGCCCCUGCACAGGGAGCCGACGAGAACUGGCCCAACACCCACCCGGAAGAGCCCUCCCGUCCAAGAGCCGACGGUCCGCCCACGGAGAUGAGCCACCGGAAAUGACUCGAGAAUGAACGGCCACCAGGGAUGUACCCCACAUUGAAGCCCCAGGGCCCACCAUCCUCCAGAGCAUCACGAGGCAUCUAACUGCCCUCAGCAUGGCCUCCCAGCACCCAAGGGCCCGGAGCAUAAUGAGAAGGUUCUGUGAAAGGAAACUUUAAAAUAUUCAAAGAAGGGACCAGGUGCUCCUUUGGGUCCAGAGCCCCCAGCCCUGCAGGGCAGAGGGGCAGCCCCUGUGACCACUGUGUGACCACCAGUGAGCCCAAAUGCCAGGAAAGAGAACCAGCGAUCCCAGAAAAUAGACAGUGGAGAACUCCCGCCCCCUAUUUUGACCAGACUGUCACCUCCCUGCCAAGAACCAGGGCUGGUCCCUCCCUCCACCCAGCAAUACCCAAAAGACCCCUUAUUCCAGAAACUUCUAUAAUGCUGUAGCAUUAACUCUCUUUCAUUUGACUGAAUUAUAAAUUACCAUUUUUAAUCAACCUCUGGUAUUCUUCACCGUCUCCUCUGAUCAUCUGACCACUGGGUUUUAUAUGAAAAAUAUAUCAAAAAGACAAUUGUCAGAAAAAGAGCUGAAAAAAAAAAUCUGGCAGGUUUCCUAACACAGAAAAUAGGUAGACAUCAUCUAGGAAGACUAUACAU